rnacentral:rRNA from 1 species
AGUAACACGUGGGUGAUCUGCCCUGCACUUUGGGAUAAGCCUGGGAAACUGGGUCUAAUACCGAAUAGGACUACGCACUGCAUGGUGUGUGGUGGAAAGCUUUUGCGGUGUGGGAUGGGCCCGCGGCCUAUCAGCUUGUUGGUGGGGUGAUGGCCUACCAAGGCGACGACGGGUAGCCGGCCUGAGAGGGUGUCCGGCCACACUGGGACUGAGAUACGGCCCAG